rnacentral:rRNA from 1 species
CCCUUAGAGUUUGAUCCUGGCUCAGAUUGAACGCUGGCGGCAGGCUUAACACAUGCAAGUCGAACGGUAACAUAAAGAAGCUUGCUUCUUUGAUGACGAGUGGCGGACGGGUGAGUAAUGCUUGGGAAUCUAGCUUAUGGAGGGGGAUAACUACGGGAAACCGUAGCUAAUACCGCGUAAUAUCGAAAGAUUAAAGUGUGGGACCUUCGGGCCACAUGCCAUAGGAUGAGCCCAAGUGGGAUUAGGUAGUUGGUGAGGUAAAGGCUCACCAAGCCGACGAUCUCUAGCUGGUCUGAGAGGAUGACCAGCCACACUGGGACUGAGACACGGCCCAGACUCCUACGGGAGGCAGCAGUGGGGAAUAUUGCGCAAUGGGGGCAACCCUGACGCAGCCAUGCCGCGUGAAUGAAGAAGGCCUUCGGGUUGUAAAGUUCUUUCGGUAGCGAGGAAGGCACUUAGUU